AUUGAACGCUGGCGGCAGGCCUAACACAUGCAAGUCGAACGGUAACAGGAAGCAGCUUGCUGCUUCGCUGACGAGUGGCGGACGGGUGAGUAAUGUCUGGGAAACUGCCUGAUGGAGGGGGAUAACUACUGGAAACGGUAGCUAAUACCGCAUAACGUCGCAAGACCAAAGAGGGGGACCUUAGGGCCUCUUGCCAUCGGAUGUGCCCAGAUGGGAUUAGCUAGUAGGUGGGGUAACGGCUCACCUAGGCGACGAUCCCUAGCUGGUCUGAGAGGAUGACCAGCCACACUGGAACUGAGACACGGUCCAGACUCCUACGGGAGGCAGCAGUGGGGAAUAUUGCACAAUGGGCGCAAGCCUGAUGCAGCCAUGCCGCGUGUAUGAAGAAGGCCUUCGGGUUGUAAAGUACUUUCAGCGGGGAGGAAGGGAGUAAAGUUAAUACCUUUGCUCAUUGACGUUGCCUGCAGAAGAAGCACCGGCUAACUCCGUG
rnacentral:rRNA from 1 species